UCGGGAAUUUUGGGCAAUGGGCGAAAGCCUGACCCAGCAACGCCGCGUGAGGGAUGAAGUAUUUCGGUAUGUAAACCUCGAAAGAAUGGGAAGAAUAAAUGACGGUACCAUUUAUAAGCUCCGGCUAACUACGUGCCAGCAGCCGCGGUAAUACGUAGGGAGCAAGCGUUGUUCGGAUUUACUGGGCGUAAAGGGCGCGUAGGCGGCGCGGUAAGUCACUUGUGAAAUCUCUGAGCUUAACUCAGAACGGCCAAGUGAUACUGCUGUGCUAGGGUGCGGAAGAGGCAACCGGAAUUCUUGGUGUAGCGGUGAAAUGCGUAGAUAUCAAGAGGAACACCUGAGGCGAAGGCGGGUUGCUGGGCCGGCACUGACGCUGAUGCGCGAAAGCCAGGGGAGCAAACG
rnacentral:rRNA from 1 species